rnacentral:rRNA from 1 species
UACGUAGGGGGCCAGCGUUGUCCGGAAUCAUUGGGCGUAAAGCGCGCGUAGGCGGUCAGGUAAGUCCGGUGUGAAAGUCAAAGGCUCAACCUUUGAAUGCCGCUGGAUACUGCUUGACUUGAGUCCGGAAGGGGCGAGUGAAAUUCCUGGUGUAGCGGUGAAAUGCGCAGAUAUCAGGAGGAACACCAAUGGCGAAGGCAGCUCGCUGGAACGGGACUGACGCUGAGGCGCGAAAGCGUGGGGAGCGAACAGG